rnacentral:lncRNA from 1 species
ACAGCAAAUACAGAAUUUAAAUCACCUUCUUUCAAACUAUAUCCUUUGAUCUGCAAAUGUGAAUUGGCAUGAUGCCAGAUCAUUGCACUGUUUUUAGUCUUUAUUCAUGCCAAAAUGUUUGAAAAAUAUUCCUCCAUGCAAUAGUUCCAGUCAUCACAAUUUGGCUUUUUCAGCACCAAGUUCCUUUCUCCUACUAGGAGUCAAAAUUACAAUCGUAAAAAUUUGGAAUCCUUUUUAAACAAAUUCUACAUAAAAGAAAACAAUUCACAUAAAAUACACUUACAAAAGCUUUGAUUCAACUCGUGACGGCCCAGGUGGUUGUAAAUUAGUGUCUGUUUUCUUCUUCGGUUGGUUAGCCUUGCUCGCUGUCUGUGAAACAUUCUGCGAAGCAGCAUUAACGGAGGACUUCGCAGUUCCAUUUGACUUAACUGCAGAACUGCUCACACAUUUUUGUUGUGCCGUUGGCACUGGGUUUGUUGAAUGAUGGGCAUUCUCUGCUGGGAAGGCUGGCGGUUUGACAGGUGUUUGAUGCGGGGGAGCCUUCCCAACAGGUGGCACUUUCUGCGCUGAUGUUGUGGGCUUUGAUACAAAAGUACAUUGAUCAGCGGGAAUCACAUUUGCAAGACGUUGUACAGGAGGAACAAAAUCUUUUUGAUUUGAAGGUAUUGGAGGAGGUCCGAAUUGAGGCGAAAACUGAUAGGGAGGUGCAAAUUGAGGUGCGAACUGAUUGGGAGGUGCAAACUGAUUGGAAGGUGCAAAUUGACCCAACUUAUUUAUACUUGAGGAACUGGAGUGAUCCUCGAAAGAUGGUGUUUUGCUCGGCAAAGGAGGAGGGUUUAAAUUUGCAGGGUUUGGUGUUUUGCUCGGUAAUGGAGGAGGGUUUAAAGUCGCAGGGUUGCUCUUCAGUUUGGCGUCAAAUACUUCCAGCAAUUUUUCAGCUCCCCGCUUUCUGGUAUUUUGCACAGAGUUUUCGACAACAUUCUUGCUUGCAUUCGAUGGGAUUGGAGGCGGUACAUUCAUUGUUUCAGAUUGGGGCUUUGAGUUCUUCCCACUGUUUGAUGGAGGCAGAAAAGAUGGUGGUUUGCUGGAGGCUGGUGGUAAAUUUUGAUUUGCAUGAUUAACAGGUGGCUUUCCACUACUUUUUUCAGGCACGUUUUCGACAAGGCGCUUAGCAAUUUGUUGCAUGGCUUCUUCGAAGGCUUUCUUAUCGUCAAGAAUUGAAGGCUGUGCAUUCGGAGUUCCAGAUUGUACCUUUGAAACAUUGUUUGAUGAACUUUUGUGAAUUAUUUCUAUAUCCGAGACUGAGGCGAUGCCUUGAGGUAAGAGAGAAGUAGGAUUGGUGACUAGUUUUUCACUCAAGGUUUCGAUAAGGGUUUGCUUCACAGUAUCUUCCAGAAGUUUCCUAUCAAGUUUUGCUGGAGUUGAAGGGUCUACACUAUUAGUUUCUACAACAGUUAAAGCAUCAUCUACUUGGGUAAGGGAAUAAUCUCCUACAUGUUGGAUAGAAGCUUUCUUCAGCGUCUCGGAAGAUGAAGCACUGCCAGUUUUUUCUAACUCGGUUUUGGCAAUCGUGUGUUCAUUCACAUCACAUCGAGAGCGUGAUGAGUUGCCAGAGGCACUCGGGUGGCUACUGAUGUUGGUUUGUACUGUGCUUACCGGUGUUUCGAUUUUUGAUUCUGGGAUUAUGUCACCACUAACCUUCCCUGAACUUAUUGUACCAUGAGAGAUUUCAGAAGUUGAUAAUUUUGGUUGAGCAUUUUGUGAACUACUACCACAGGAUAUCACGGGAGUUUUUGGCUCAUGAACUUGGCCUUGAACGGCUUGCCUAGAGUUUUCAUCACUUUUCUUCGAAGUAGUGUAAUUUUGACUGUUCUCUUCCCUUUCAGAUACUUCUCCUUCAGCUGAAAUCAUAAAAUAAUAUAUACGCAUAAAAAAUGUUUAGUUCCGGCAGAAUGUUUCGUGAUAGUGAUAAUCUUUCUUCAUUUUAAAUGAUUUUAUUGGUUUUGUCUCUUUUCACUCAAAGUGUUUUCUAUUUUGCAGAUACUGAUGAUGAGUUUGGGGCUGUACUAUUGAAAUAGCCUUAGCAAGAUGCAUCUAUGGACAAACUUUUUUUUCUUCCUUUUUUUCACUUCAUUUUUUUGUUUUAUUAAGGCAUAUUAGCAAGGAUUACUGAAAAAUCUUACAUACUUUCAAAAUAAGAAAUUUGUAUACAUCCAAUAUGAUUGGUAACAAUUUUAGGAGAAAGUUAAACUUUAACUUGGCUGAGCUAAUCAGACACCAUUUUAUUGACUUUAGAAAACACUUACAUUGAGAAACCACAGAAUUUGAGCGGGAGGGUCUAGUGCUGAUCCUGCCAUCGGAGGAGGCUCCCGUAUUCUCCCUAUCUGCAGUAAGAAUAAAAUGUAAACGUCAUUAGAAUAAUAUCUUACUCAUAAUACUAUGCUACUAAUAAUAUAAGAUCAAAGCUUAAGCUGUCCAACUGGUAAUGUGUUUAAAAAUGCAGUGGAGGCUCCAGGAAAGGUGAGACAUAAAGUUUAGUAUUCAAAGAGAAGUUGGUAGAAAAAUUAAGCUUCACUCAUGAUAUUAACUGAUCUCAACUGGUGCGGGAAAUUUUAAUCAUUUGAUCCAAGCUCCAAUUCAAUCAAUUUCUGCAAAAAUAUUAAACUUCCAUUACAUUUUCUACAAAUGCUGUGGUUUGUUUAGCCCGACAAUAUUGCUGUUAGGUUCUAGCAAACAAACUCGACAAAUUUGAUCUUAAAUUUUAAUGUCUCGGACCAACUUCAUCUUAGAUGUUAUGAUUAAAUUGAUCCAUGCUAAUUCUGAUACACUGUAUUAUACAGCAGAUGAUUUUGCAAAAACCGAUUCAAAAUGGGUUUGCAAAAAAGACAGGGUUCCCAAAGAAUUUAGAAAAUUAUUUCCUUGACAAGUUUUGGUAAAAUUUCCUUACAAUUGAAGAUAUCGUCACCUUCCCGGCAAAGUAUCACAAGCGCCAUGCGACGUUUAAAAAUUUCGGUCGCCGUUUUAUUUUUUUACAAAGAAAUUGUUGGUUGAAUCUGGUUGAAAAUUUCACUGAAUUUUAUCGUCAGCACGAAGAUAAUUCAGUGAAAUUUUUGGACAGCUUCGUUCAACAGUUUCUCUGUUAGAAAAUAAAAUGGCGGCAGAAAUUUUUAAACGUCGCAUGGCGCUUGUGAUACUUUGCCGGGAAGGUGACGAUAUGUCGGAUGAUUAAUAAGACAUAAUUUGAAAUAGUUUUUAGGCAAAACUUGUUGUUUGUAACGUCUAAUUCAUUCUACGAAGAAAAUGACAGCGACUUGACAAUUUUCUCCUGACACACUCAUCAUUUUCCCUGACAUUUCCAGGUUAUCCCAGAAUUUUUGAAAUUCUCUAACAUUUUCUGGUUUUCCCCUCACUGUGGCAACCCUGAGGAAGAACAACUUUUCAUUUCACUUUAGAAGAAGUUUGCGACAGAUCCAAUAAGUUUUUUUGUCUAAGGAAGGUUGUAAAUACAUACCAGAUUCAUUAGAGCAAACUGAUUGAUCACUUCGCGGAUCACUCCGAUUUUGAUUCCGCUGUUGUGCUAAAAUCUGAGUGGUUAGAUCCGACAGAGACAGGUUGGUAUCCCUCGCUUGAAGUAAGACUUUCAGGAGGAACUGAUGAUUUUGCCUCUGGAAUUCGUUUGCAGCUGCUUUCAAGAGACUUACGAAAACUUGGUGUAUAGUUGAAACUUUCAAAUUUAAUUCUGGGUCUGGCUCGAAAUCCAACGCCAGCAAGUCUCUCACAUCUUCGACACUGACUGCACCUGAUUCUGACAACUGAGACUUGAGUUUGGCAAGCUUCAGCUGUAAUCGAAACAAAAUAACAAACGUUAAUCCGAAGAGAAAGACAGGACAAUAUGUCUACUGCACUUCAUAUGGGUGAAUUUCUUAAACCACUUAUUUUCUUAGUGGUGUUUAAAAAUCUCUACUCCUAUUAAAGUUUUGUUAAGGAGAACAAAUUGACAUCAUUCUUCGAAGUUUUUUCAGAAUUUCCUACCAAUAGAGAAGAAAAAUAACGAAAGUUCUUUAAAAUUGACAUUGAGUAGCUGUCAAUUAAAAAAAUGAAGUAUGACAAGAGGUGCACAAUGUUCCAAACCGAGAAGUUUUAAGUCAUUGCCUUACAAUAAUUUCUUAGCCUCCCGCACCUAGCUUCAAUAUUUAAUUUUCCUAAGAUGAGUAACUUUAGAUGCAUUUG